AAAAUGCUUCCCAUUUGGCACUUAAGAGACAGUUCCAGAAGAAAACAACAACACAACUGCAGGACUUUGUCUUUGCCUGUCCAAUGAAGACUGAGCAACAAAGGAUGGCUUUUAGACGAUACUUUAUCCUUGUGGUUUUGAAGAUGUUUCUUUGCCCCACAAGCCAGUAGACUAUUUCCCCAUGGCACCUCCCUCCAAUUUUGGAUGUCUCAAACCCAAGAAGAUUUCACUGGCCGUAUCAGAUAUUAAAGUGGUUGCAAGAUGCAAUAAGAAAAUUCCAAAACGAGAACCGAAAAACAUGCAGCGGGUGCAUGUUCGUGUUGUUGGUAUCGCAAAUAAUUUACCUAAAUUUAUACUACAUGUACGUCUUAAGUUGUAAAUCCUAUCAUUUGAAUUACUUGUGUCCAGGUUCUGUACUUUCAGUGCUUAAAGCAUGGUCCGUUACAUGCAUGUCAAGCACCCGAGCUUUGAAUUGAUGAAUGGACCACUAAUGAACUUGAUAAGAAGGCCGACCAUGUUAUUUCACAGGGAUGCAUCGUGGACAAGGCAAGGAAGGGAAAAAAA